rnacentral:rRNA from 1 species
UACGUAGGGGGCAAGCGUUGUCCGGAAUCAUUGGGCGUAAAGCGCGUGUAGGCGGCUCAGUAAGUCCGCUCUGAAAGCCCGGGGCUUAACCCCGGGAGGCGGGUGGAUACUGCUGAGCUUGAGUCCGGAAGAGGCGAGUGGAAUUCCCGGUGUAGCGGUGAAAUGCGCAGAUAUCGGGAGGAACACCUAUGGCGAAGGCAGCUCGCUGGGACGUUACUGACGCUGAGACGCGAAAGCGUGGGGAGCAAACAGG